rnacentral:rRNA from 1 species
GACGAACGCUGGCGGCGUGCCUAAUACAUGCAAGUCGAGCGAACCACUUCGGUGGUGAGCGGCGAACGGGUGAGUAACACGUAGGUGAUCUGCCCAUCAGACGGGGACAACGAUUGGAAACGAUCGCUAAUACCGGAUAGGACGAAAGUUUAAAGGUGCUUCUGGCACCGCUGAUGGAUGAGCCUGCGGCGCAUUAGCUAGUUGGUAGGGUAAAGGCCUACCAAGGCGACGAUGCGUAGCCGACCUGAGAGGGUGAACGGCCACACUGGGACUGAGACACGGCCCAGACUCCUACGGGAGGCAGCAGUAGGGAAUCUUCGGCAAUGGGCGAAAGCCUGACCGAGCAACGCCGCGUGAAUGAUGAA